UCUCCUGCCUCAGCCUCCUGAGUAGCUGAGAUUACAGGCACAUGCCACUGCCCCAGGCUGGAGACCUCUUGAUAGAGGAAAUCUGAAAGACAGAAUAAAGAAAAGCAAAUAAAUAAAUAAAUAAAAGCUUGUGACUGGUGAUUACCCUGAAUAUCAUGGGGACAAAAAGUUUCUUAUAGAUGUAGUUUUUAAAAAUCUACAUAUUAACUGAA